GACGAACGCUGGCGGCGUGCUUAACACAUGCAAGUCGAACGGAAAGGCCCUGCUUUUGUGGGGUGCUCGAGUGGCGAACGGGUGAGUAACACGUGAGUAACCUGCCCUUGACUUUGGGAUAACUUCAGGAAACUGGGGCUAAUACCGGAUAGGAGCUCCUGCUGCAUGGUGGGGGUUGGAAAGUUUCGGCGGUUGGGGAUGGACUCGCGGCUUAUCAGCUUGUUGGUGGGGUAGUGGCUCACCAAGGGUUUGACGGGUAGCCGGCCUGAGAGGGUGACCGGCCUCAUUGGGACUGAGAUAGGGACCAGACUGCUAUGGGAGGCAGCAGUGGGGAGUAUUGUACAGUGAGCGGGAGCGUGUUGAAGCGGCGUCGGGUGCGGAAUGACCGUCUUCGGGUUGUGAACCGCUUUAGGUUGUGACGAAGCGUGAGUGACGGUAAUGGGUAAAGAAGCACCGGCUAACUUCGUG
rnacentral:rRNA from 1 species